AAGGACGUUGCGCAGGAUGCGCCUAGAUAUAACAGGGACACGUAGGAUUUCUGCCAGGACGGCGGACGGAAAUGGAUGUCAUGGGAAACAGUCUGCAAACCCCGCUUCGGCGGGGUUUU
rnacentral:sRNA from 1 species